AGGUUGGCCCCACUGGCAACCUAGUAGCCGGUUGACUCUGGUUUGGGCGUUUCCUCCCCCCGGCCUCCUCUCCACGGCCGCCGCCGCCACCCUCCGCCUCUUCCCGGCCGCCUCCGCCGCUGACCUCCGCCUCUCCCUGGCCGCCUCAGCCCUCUACCUCAUCUCUCGCUCACCUCCUCAAGGCCGCCUCUGCGUCAUUCCCUCGCGCACCGCCUCAUGGCAGCCUCCCACCUCUGCCUCAUCCCCUCGUCCACCACCUGACUAGGUUGCGCUCGCAGCGAGUCCGACGGACGUGACGGCCCACCUCUCGUCUCUCUACCGCAGUGUCCACAUCUGGUCCGUUCCUCGUCCCAGCAAGCCUCGCAACAUCAAUCGUCGCCCGCAGGAGAGCACCACAGGGUACUGAAAUGAAUACAAGUCAGCGUUGCAGUGAUUUAUUAUGGAUGCCGCACAGCCAACAUAAAAUAUCCAAAUCUUGGGAAAAUCGUAACAUUUGCUUGAAUGUUCGGUGUCACCGUGUUGGCAUUCCAGUGGAUCCUCUAUGUAGAGCAGCCUUAGAGAACCUUGGUUUUUAUCAAAUUGCAAAAAUGAAGAAAAUCAAUGUCGACAAAUAUUUGAUAUCAGCAUUGGUCGAGCGUUGGCGGCCUGAGACAAAUACUUUUCAUUUACCUAUAGGAGAAAUGACCGUUACACUACAAGACGUGAGUUGUUUGUGGGAGUUGCCUAUCCAUGGUAAACCACUUAUUGGCAAAGAUGAUGCUGCAUGGUCUGGAUUAAUUGAGAGGUUACUUGGGAUUCCUAUAGAUGAACAACACAUGAAGCAAAAGAGAAGGCGGAAAGAUGAUGACAAUAUUGCUGUGAAGAAUUCAUAGUACUCUUUAAAUUUAGGUAAACUACGAGAACGCUUCCAGGUGAUGCCGGAUAAUCCAAUGGAUCGAGAGAUUCAUUGGCAUGCUCGAGCGAUUGUUCUAGAAAUCCUUGGCUCCACGGUGUUCACUGAUACAUCUCGAGAUGGAGUGCCAGCUAUGUAUCUUCAGUUUAUGCAGAAUGCAUGGCAACCAACAGAGUAUAAUUGGGGAGCAGCUGUUCUUGCUAUGUUAUAUAGACAGUUGAGCAUUGGGGCUGAGAAGGAGAGAUUAGAAAUUUCGGGGCCUUUGUUGCUGCUACAGUUAUGGUCCUGGUCCCAUUUGCCACUUGGUCGCCCUAAAAAUAUUAUUGAGAAGCCAAAAGAAAGGGAGGAGCCCGGAGAUGAGGAAAGUGGAGAAGUAGACUUGGAUUAUAACCCUGUAUUUGGAGCAAAGUGGUGUGCUGGACAUGAAUUUGAUGUUCCACAUAAUGCGGGUACCGAAUAUUAUCGAAAUCAGAUUGAUUUGAUUCAAGAAGGUGCAAUUGAAUGGCAACCAUAUGAAGGCCUUCUGGAUGAGAUGCCUGUCGAAGUACAUGAUGGUACUAAUUGGUGGUUUGCUAGAGUACCACUCAUACAUUUUUGGAUUGUAGAGUUUCACUAUCCAAAUAGGGUGAUGCGGCAAUUCGGAUUAAGACAAGCCAUUCCACCUUCCCCUCCACGCGGCGAGGUAGAGGUUCGCAAAUUGUGAAAAAAUAAACAUUUUGCAAGGAAACCGCAUAAUUGGGAAGAAGUCCAUGCCAACUAUGUUCAAGAAUAUGUUCAAGAGUAUGAUCGUGUCCGAGUAGGAGUAGCGCCAGAGGAUAUUCCCUUUGAUGUAGCUAGUUUACCGGAUUACAGACAUUGGUUCCAGCAAAAUGGUAUGUACACAAUAUUCUUUGACUCACAAUGCUUAGGAGGCCUAGAUAAACCUAUCCCAUAUCCUCGAGAUAGCAUCGAAUGGACCGGGUACAUGCCCAGCGGUCCAGCAUUGGCUCACAUUAGCCUACAUGAGAUAAAGAAUGUUGCAUGGGGGAUCAACUGUGCUACUACCAGUGGAUGCAAGAAGAUAGGCAAAUCUAUACUGAGGUCUUGUGUAGGAAAUUUGAUGGAUCUCAACUUGGAGCCUAGGCUGCGAAGCAUGCUCGUUGAGGCUAGAUUGCCGCUGAAGAUCGAAGAUAUCCCAUCUGAUGAUGAUGUUUCAGAUAUUGCUCAACCACCGAGCCCCCCGAAAGAAAGCAACUCCGAUGUAUUUAAUGAUUGGAUAUACUCUGGGAGAGGUUUUACAACAUAUCUCAAUGUUGGUGAAGCCAUGGUAGAUGGAGGACGGACAACACAAGAUGCAACUCAAGCUCCCAGAUUUCAGUCAAGGAGUUCUUCACAAGUACUAAAUUAGAAUGAGAGCAUAUAGUGAUAUGAUAUGCUCAUCUCUAGAAGUGUAACAGGGUAGAUGUUUGUUUCCUUUUGCACAACAAAAAAAGUUCGUGAGUAUGCUUUGUAAUAGGCCACACAUGGGUUGUAAUCCUUUCAAGCCAUGUCACUCCGCAUUGGCUAAGCUCAUGUUGCAGCCUGCCUUGUCUAAAACUGAACGUGCGUGAGAUGAAUCUGAGUUCAAAAUUAUGGCUGAAAGCAAAGAAUGGACGAUUCUCUAAAUGUGUGGCUCAAAUUUUGAUGAAAAUUUCACAGAUUAGUAGUCAUCAUAUAUAAGUCCUUGUGUCAAAAUUUCAUAAAAUUCUAGGCACAUU